UGAUUUUGUGUGGUUCAAGUGCAGUUUUUUUUAAGUAUAUCUAACUCCAACAAAACAUUGUUUACAAGGAUCUAAAAAGAUGAUUCAAGAAUCAAAACGAGGUGUUUCGAUUGGAGGGAUAUUGACCAACUUCUCUCAUGUUGACAGCAGCAUGUGUCACAAUAUGGCAGUUAUACUCCCUUUAUUUUAUCAAGAUUCCCUUGAAGAGUCUAGUCUACUGGUGGUUUCCAAUACCGCGGAACUUAAGGUUAAGCGCGGAUCAUCAGCUAUUCAGGUGAAGAAUAUAUACUUGUCUUGUGACCCUUACAUGGGAUUCUCAUGAGAGAACCAAAUCCUUAAUUUGUCUAUGGCGCUUUUGAAUGCUUACGUCUCUGAAAAGCCUCUUCUUGGUUUUGGAAUGUCUAAGGUGAUAGAUUCUUGAUGAUUCAGCUUUUACCAAAAGUAUUUUUGUUUGAGCACUGGUUAAAUGGGACGAGUAUACGACAAUUAAAACACCAUUACAUCCAAACUUGACGUUAGUAUGUCUAUGCUCCUCUUUCCAACUAGACUAGACUGCUUGGUUAGUAUCAUGUCUAUAUUAUUAAGAACUAAAAACAAACACAAUAUUGUUCAAGAGGAUAAGGAUUCACGGGUUUGUUGCUAUGGACUUGAGAACGCUCUUGCUCCUCUUGUGGGACUUUACCACGGACAAAACAUUGGGGGACAAGUUGUUGAGGUUGCUCGAGAAUGAA